rnacentral:sRNA from 1 species
AGGCGGUCGCGGAUUUAGUUUGCUUCGU